CUACAUUUCCAUCACUUUGCCUCUAAUAAGCCUUCUCUCGGAAUAAGCCGUAAGUCUGUCUAGGUCGAGAGAUGGCUUAUUAGAGGGAAAGUGAUGGGAAUGUAG
rnacentral:pre_miRNA from 1 species